AAGUUCUCUGUUUCAUCACAAUCACAGACUUUCUCAGUUUCCUCGUGGUUCUUGUCCACGUCCCCGUAGAUGAGGCUCUUCAGUGCACUCUGGCACCUCUCCUUCAGCUUUGUGAUACCUCCUUGCACUCUGCACAUGAGCCCCUCCUGAUCCUGGUUCAGUUCCUUCAGGGGAGUGAGUGGCAGGCAGGAAGCAGGUAGGGGAGGGGAUGACAGGGGCCGAGGCAUCCGCCUCGGAUUAGAGCUUAUCACUUGUUGUGGAAAUCGUUGUGGAGAGCUGGCAAUGAGUCCGGUUCGGCUGUUACAUGACUGGCUUCUUUUUAAUAGUUCUGAGAAUGGAAGAGGUUCGCCACACCCAGCCAUGGUUCGUUGAGUUCAAAAAUUUUAACAAAAUAUCAAAGUGGCAGAGAAAGGGACAUGGCACCUCCUCGUCAAGAACUCGUGGACACACUGUUUAUCAGAGUUAAGACGCUGUGCCGAACAGGAUGUGACAUUUCCUGUGCAGCUGAUGCACUGUGAGACAAAGCAUGUACAUGACGUAUAUAUAAAAAAGCUAGAACUUUCCAAAAUAAACAGGAGACUUCUCAGUACAUAUUACAUAUCACUACAUAUCACUACUACAGUCAUCCUUAAACUCUACUUAGCACUAGUUAGACCUUAUCUCAAUUAUGUGGUUCAGUUCUGGUCACCCUAAUACAGAAUGAAUAUCAAGAUGUUAGAAAUCUGUACAGAGGAGAAUGACCAAAAUGAGUCAAGGGGUGAGAAACUUGCCUUAUAAAGAUAGACUGAAGCAUUUAAAACUACACUCUCAAGAAAGGCGAAGGUUACGAGGUGACUUGAUCGAGGUUUAUAAAUGGAUGAAGGGCUUUAAUAAAGGGGAUGUCAAUAGGGUUUUGGUUGUAAAAGAGCCAGGCAGGACACAUAUCAAUGGUUUUAAGCUAGAUAAAUUCAGAUCCAACAAAGACAUAGGCAAUAAUUGGUUUACCAAUAGGGUGGUGGAUGAGUGGAACAGGUUUGGCAGUCAUGUCGUGGGUGCCAAUACCAUUCAAGAAUAGGUUGGAUAAAUUCAUGGAUAGUGAGGAUAGAGUGGCUAAUCACAGUGACGUGAUUUCUUGAUGUAUAAAUAAAAACCCACACUGGCAGACGAUAGUUAUGUUUUUAACCAAACAGUUUCGGUGGACACUGCCACCAUCUUCAGUGGUGUAAAGGAAGAGUAGAAGAUAGUAGAGAUAGUGAGGAUAGGUGGGGUUAGGCUCACAGGAGCUGUCUUGUAUAGGCCAACCUGCCUCUUGCAGACACUUUAUGUUCUUAUGCUCUUAUUAAAAAAAGACUAUAUGGUUAGCAACAUGGCUGGUGUAGAAAAUUUCAAAUAUCAUGUUACACAAUCAAACUGAAAAAAAACAAAAUUCUGUGACUAUAGAGAGAUCUAAAGUAUUUUAUCUCUUAAAGUUAAUACAGCACAUACACCUCCGUGGUCUAGUGGUGAGUGUGCCUGGUUACUACUCCACGGGACUGGGUUUGAAUCCCGGCCCAGAUCACCCAGCUGUUCAUCCUCCCUUUCAGGCUGCUUGAUAAAUGGGUACGUGGGAAAACCUGGGGGAGGUAAACUGUGGCAAUCCCGGAAUUCACAUUGGCCCGUGUCCCGGGGUAACUGGUUCUUACCACCACAGGCUCAAUGGGACAAUGGAACAGAGAUGAGCACCACAGCCAUGCCGGCUAUAGUGUAUGCACCCACCUUUUCAAUUAUAUCCACAGAGGAAGGGGAGAGGAGCGAGGUAGAGAAGGCAGUAAAGGAGCUAAAAGUGGCAAAGGAGCCUGACAUUGUCAGCAUAACAUCAGGAAUGCUGAAAAAAAGAGGUGUAGUUGUUUGAUGAUAUGUAAUCUAGCAUGGCAGUGGGGUGAUGCUCCACAAGACUGGAGAAAGGCCAUCAUUGUGCUGCUAAACAAAGGAAAAGGAAGUAGGGGUUGUUGUAACAACAAAGGGAAUAAGCUUACUCAGUGUGACAUGUAUGGUGUGAAAGGCUUUAAAUGACAGGAUGGUGGAAAUAACUGAAAGAAAAUGUGGGGAAUGAACAAGGGGCUUUAGAAACGCAAGGGUAUGUUAUGAAGUGAAGGAACAGGGAAGCUUCUGCCAUGACCACCCCCUUGAGGGAACAUGGCAUCAGAUAUGUAGAAAGAAAUAUGAUUACCUGCACAAAGCUAACCCAUGCUUUGCUUGGUAUUUCCAUGCAUCCCAAGUUGAAAAUCAAGUGCAAUACAAGCAGCGAGCUUUUUUUAUUUUUUUCAUUAGUGUUUCCUUUUUUUGUGCCCUUGAGCUGUUUCCUUAGUAAAAAAAAAAAAAAAUAAAAAAAACAAAAA